GCCUUCUGUGGUGUAGUUGGUAGCGCUUUAGUACAGUAAAUAUAUGUCCUAGGUUCAAGCCCCGGUUGGGGUA